UACGUAGGGGGCAAGCGUUGUCCGGAAUUACUGGGCUUAAAGAGUUUGUAGGCGGUUCGGUAAGUGAGAUGUGAAAGCCCUCGGCUCAACCGAGGAAUUGCGUUUCAAACUGCCGGGCUCGAGGGAGAUAGAGGUGAGCGGAACUGAUGGUGGAGCGGUGAAAUGCGUUGAUAUCAUCAGGAACACCAGAGGCGAAGGCGGCUCACUGGGUCUCUUCUGACGCUGAGAAACGAAAGCUAGGGGAGCAAACGGG
rnacentral:rRNA from 1 species